GGUGAAGUAGGUUAAGUUCUUGGUACUUCCAAUGAAUUUACAAAACUCAAAAUCCAGUGGGGGCAACUCCGUGUGGGUUCGAUUCCCACCUUCGGCACCA
rnacentral:tRNA from 1 species